AAUUACUCUUUUGCUCUUUAUGGAUUAUGUUAAGGAAGAAGGAAUUACUCUAUUUCUACCACCUUGUCGAUUUGAUACUUGUUAAUAAGUCGUGGCAUUCCCUUUUCCCAAAUUCCAAUGAUACUACAUGAGAUGAGAAGAUGGUGUAGUAUAUAUUUACUUGAGAUAAUACUUUGAUCAAGUGACUACAGAACUCACUGUCAAAGAAACCAAAGACUUCACCAAACCUUCAGUACCUUCCCAUUUGAACUGUGCAUAGUAUGUGAUGUAGUUCUCCGUCUGGGUUUAUUAGUUUUUGCAUUUUGGGUCAAAGUUUGACCAUAAAUUUUAAUAAUUACUUCUAAUAUGUAUCUAACUAUAUAAUUUUUAGGACAUAUCACAUAUAUUUUCCUAUUCAAACAUAUUGUCAAAGUUUGAAACAGGAUACGAUGAGGACUAAUAAACCGGAUGGAAGGAGUAGAUAACUUAUGAGCCCGUACCUUUUUUUCUUCUAAAACUUCCCUACUACUACAUUUUCCCCUCUACAGAGAAUUCAAGUUCUCAACCUAACACAAUAAAUGUAAUCUCUGUCUUUGCAAGCUCUCGGACAAUAAGCAUAAUUCAACCUCUUAGAUGAAGUCUUCGUGUUCUUCUCUACCAUGUUGCACGUCUUAUAUAAGUAUAGUUUUUGGUACUGUAACUGUACGUUCUAAUAAUAUUGCACAAGAUUGUUGAUCGAUAAAAUGGUAAAGAUUCUUAGGAAUGAUUGGCAACGGGAUUGACAGAAACAACAACUUGGAUGGAUUCUAUGUGAACAAAGUGGUAUGUAUGUCGGAGUUACAUCUCCAUGCAAUUAAGCUACUAGUUACAUCCAUAUCUAGAACACAUGGUCGACAAAUACAUUGAGAAGAUGUGGAACCUCAAGGAACGUGGAAGACCUCUAAACCUUGAGAACAUAGAAACAUCUAACCGGAUGUAGAUGAAAACCCUAGCUAUGCGACCUUUCCCUGUGCUUCCUGUUGGAUAGGGUUGGUCGCCCAUCUGCUGCACUAGCCUGGCACAUAAUCAUGAAGGUUAGCUUGUAAGCAUGCACAUGUCACAGGGAAUGCCCGUGUAAUCCCGCUCAUCAUGUUGAUGCACAGAUCCAGUGACUACAACCAUGCUUUGCUGUUGAAAAUUGUAUGGUUGUCAGCGGACGAUAUUCAGUUUUAGAUUUGUGAGCUAUGUGUGUGUUUAAGGGUCAUUUAAUUAGUUAUGAAGACACUGACAUUUAACUUGUUUAUAACAUACUAUUUGAACUGUGAUUGUUCUUACACUUGUAAAGAUCAAGUACAAUUUGGAGAACAGGUUUCUCAUUUUCUAGUCACAUUGAUGUCAAUAAAGAGGGGUCCUAAAAAAGUCGGUAUAAGAGCAAUAAUAUUAAUAUGACAUAUAAGCUUAUAAU
rnacentral:lncRNA from 1 species